rnacentral:lncRNA from 1 species
CAUUUCAAUCUUGUGCACUAUCUUCAAGAUAUCGUUGGUAGAGAUUUGAUAAAUAAAUCAGCCAUAUUAACUAUAAUAAAUAGUUGCAACUUGAAAUCAUAACUCGUGAUAGAUAUAUAAUGUCUUCACAAAUAUCGUGGAAUGACUAUUCAAUUUCUCCAUAAAGGUAUCAUCGCUAUCACAUUAUCAUGCAUAUAGUUAUAGCAAGAUAUAUUUGUGCA